rfam:Aedes albopictus isolate Foshan contig65359, whole genome shotgun sequence.
UGCCUAGCAACUCCUAUCCCUACCUCCACGCGGUACCGGCCGGAAACUAUGAGCAAUCUUAGGGAAGAUCGGGUAACCAACCUCGGUGGAAACUUUGGUCGUAGGCUGACAGGGAAGG